ACACAUGCAAGUCGAACGCCCUCGCAAGGGGGAGUNGGCANNNGACGGGUGAGUAACACGUGGGAACAUACCCUUCGGUACGGAAUAGCUCAGGGAAACUUGGAUUAAUACCGUAUACGCCCUGGCGGGGAAAGAUUGAUCGCCGAAGGAUUGGCCCGCGUCCGAUUAGCUAGUUGGUGAGGUAACGGCUCACCAAGGCGACGAUCCGGUAGCUGGUCUGAGAGGAUGGCCAGCCACCAUUGGGACUGAGACACGGCCCAAACUCCUACGGGAGGCAGCAGUGGGGAAUAUUGGACAAUGGGCGCAAGCCUGAUCCAGCCAUGCCGCGUGAGUGAUGAAGGCCNUUAGGGUUGUAAAGCUCUUUCGUCAGGGACGAUAAUGACGGUACCUGAAGAAGAAGCCCCGGCUAACUUCGUGCCAGCAGCCGCGGUAAUACGAAGGGGGCUAGCGUUGUUCGGAUUUACUGGGCGUAAAGGGCGCGUAGGCGGAUUUUUAAGUCAGGGGUGAAAUCCCAAGGCUCAACCUUGGAACUGCCUUUGAUACUGGGGAUCUUGAGUCCGGGAGAGGUGAGUGGAACUGCGAGUGUAGAGGUGAAAUUCGUAGAUAUUCGCAAGAACACCAGUGGCGAAGGCGGCUCACUGGCCCGGAACUGACGCUGAGGCGCGAAAGCGUGGGGAGCAAACAGGAUUAGAUACCCUGGUAGUCCACGCCUUAAACGAUGAAUGCCAGCCGUUAGGCAGUUUACUGCUCAGUGGCGCAGCUAACGCUUUAAGCAUUCCGCCUGGGGAGUACGGUCGCAAGAUUAAAACUCAAAGGAAUUGACGA
rnacentral:rRNA from 1 species